AGUGAAAUCUUAAAUUUUGAAGAUGUAGGAUCUAAGAACUCUCUAGAAAAAGAAUCGACUAAAUUCGUUAAUUCAUAUUGAUUCCCCCAAUUAGCUAUUGAGUCUAAAGAUUUGGUCACGACUUAAAUAGUUUUGUGAUUCACCUUGUAGAUUCGAAUUGCUAGGAUGGGGAAUCAAAUCAAAGCGUAAGAUUCAAAUUGAGAAUCACAAGAUUCUAAGAACAGUAACAUUAGGGUUACAUAUAUAAAUGAAAAAUGGUGACAUUGUUUAUCUCUAUCAAUAGCCUAUGCCGUCACCCUCUUAUGCUCCUCUCAUCCUUUAUAAUUUUUAGUAAAAAAUAAAAAAAAUCUGUUAUAAUUUUUAAUAAAAAAUAAAAAAAAUCUGGAAAUUUGGAUGGAUUCCCUUCGUCCAGUUAUGCCUUCCCUCUCCAAACCCCCACCACACCAAACCAUCCAACCCCCAUCCCCCCAAACCGCCAAUUUCUUUAUUCUUCUUCAACUCCUUUGCAAGGCCAUUAUGGCCAUUACGUUCCUUGUGUCAUGGCUGUUGUGCUUGAUAUGGUGCCGUUUUUGUAUGAAUUCACUCCCAAAGAAGCAGAAAAAUAUUGCAUUGGAAGGCUAAAUUUCAGAUAGGUAUUAGGUAAUAUCCAAUAUGUAAUGUACUAGCUGAUUUUUGAAAUCCUUCACUGCAAAAAAAGUGGGGUGGGUACCCUGAAUUCAGAUGCACAUGCGCUUAUUUUCUAACCCUUAUAAGUUGGGCUUAAGUU
rnacentral:misc_RNA from 1 species